UACGUAGGGGGCAAGCGUUGUCCGGAAUCAUUGGGCGUAAAGAGCGUGUAGGCGGUCCGGUAAGUCGGCUGUGAAAGUCCAGGGCUCAACCCUGGGAUGCCGGUCGAUACUGCCGGACUAGAGUUCGGAAGAGGCGAGUGGAAUUCCCGGUGUAGCGGUGAAAUGCGCAGAUAUCGGGAGGUACACCUAUGGCGAAGGCAGCUCGCUGGGACGUUAUUGACGCUGAGACGCGAAAGCGUGGGGAGCAAACAGG
rnacentral:rRNA from 1 species